rnacentral:rRNA from 1 species
GUCAUAUGCUUGUCUCAAAGAUAAGCCAUGCAUGUCUCAGUACAAGCCAAAUUAAGGUGAAACCGCGAAAGGCUCAUUAAAUCAGUUAUGGUUCCUUAGAUCGUACCCACAAUUACUUGGAUAACUGUGGUAAUUCUAGAGCUAAUACAUGCAAACAGAGCUCCGACCGGAGACGGAAGGAGUGCUUUUAUUAGAUCAAAACCAAUCGGUGGCGGGUUCGCGCUCGUUAUCGUACAACUUGGUGACUCUGAAUAACUUUACGCUGAUCGCACGGUCAUCGCACCGGCGACGCAUCUUUCAAAUGUCUGCCUUAUCAACUGUCGAUGGUAGGUUCUGCGCCUACCAUGGUUGUAACGGGUAACGGGGAAUCAGGGUUCGAUUCCGGAGAGGGAGCCUGAGAAACGGCUACCACAUCCAAGGAAGGCAGCAGGCGCGCAAAUUACCCACUCCCGGCACGGGGAGGUAGUGACGAAAAAUAACGAUACGGGACUCAUCCGAGGCCCCGUAAUCGGAAUGAGUACACUCUAAACCCUUUAACGAGGAUCAAUUGGAGGGCAAGUCUGGUGCCAGCAGCCGCGGUAAUUCCAGCUCCAAUAGCGUAUAUUAAAGUUGUUGCGGUUAAAAAGCUCGUAGUCGAAUUUGUGUCUCGCGCCGCCGGUUCAUCGUCCGCGGUGUUAACUGGCGAGUCGCGAGACGUCCUGCCGGUGGGCUUAGCUCGCGAGGGCGGCCCAACUCAAUCCUGCCGCGGUGCUCUUCAUUGAGUGUCGAGGUGGGCCGGCACGUUUACUUUGAACAAAUUAGAGUGCUUAAAGCAGGCUAAAACUUCGCCUGAAUACUGUGUGCAUGAAAUAAUGGAAUAGGACCUCGGUUCUAUUUUGUUGGUUUUCGGAACCCCGAGGUAAUGAUUAAUAGGAACGGAUGGGGGCAUUCGUAUUGCGACGUUAGAGGUGAAAUUCUUGGAUCGUCGC